UUUUUUGGUUUGUUGUCACCCUUGUAUUCUGCAUUGCAGGAACAACUGAGAUGGAUCCCCCUUACCUGGUAGAUUGAGAGGGGUAGUUUGGGCACUGGUGCCUCGCUGAGGUUAGCAGUGCUGCUCUCAGUGGAGUCGCACUCCAUGAUGGUGAGGAUCUUGAGGUCACAUGGAGCUGGCGGCAGGUGGAGGUGGGUCAGCCGAGCCUUUUUCAGAUGGUGAAAAUCCCCCUCGGUCAGGGUGUAUCUUAAGCACAGCGACGAAGGGAUGAAUUGUUAAAACCAGAAAUUUUCUAUUAAGAACUACUAAUUUUCCGCAUACCUGCGUCCUUUUUCCUGAGCCAUCCUCUCCUGUUCGUACAGAGCAGACUCAUUGAAGGAGACUCUGCGGCCUGUCAAUCCGGUGGAAACAAACCUCUCUGACUCCAUGUCGUGGCAGCUCGUAGCCGAGAGGGCGUCGGAUUCAUCCAGGCGGAUUGUAAUCUCUGAGUGACACGGUGGAAGGAGAGAGAUGACAAUACAGGUCAUCGCUCGCUCUGGGGAAAAAAAACAACAACAAAAAACACUCGUUAACACACGGCAGUGGUAACUACAUUAGGGGCAAGGAAGGGCGCUGCACCACCAGGUCUGCGCCCACCUGGAGUAGCGACGCCCACCCAUGCAGCAGCGGUGACAGAAGAGCAGCAGCAGAGAGAGGAGGACCAGCGUCCCCCCAGCGAAAACACUCAGCAGCACCAGGAGCAACACAUAAUUCUCCACCCGGCCUGCCGACACAGGUACAUCCUGCCGGGGAAAAAACAAGACCACUCAUUUUAUUCUGUUCCAGUGCAUUAGUUCUUCCAUUUGGAAAUUUUACAGGGAAAAGAUGAAUACAUUCUAUUUUUGUGCUUAGCUUCUACAUGAAUGCAAAC